CCGAAAUCUGUGCCAUGAGGCCGUUGGGCGCUGCCCCGGCACAGGAAACGGUGCCGGCCGGGCACGAAAGUUCUGGACAGAGUUUAGGUCCCUUGGGCUUCAUAAGGGAAGAAAAAGGAAUCGAAGGAAUUAGAAUAAGCAGUGAGGAAACAAAACUAUCACUAUUUGCAAAUGAAGAUGAUAUAACUUAAAAAACCCUCAAGUAUCAACUAAAAUAUUCCUAGAAAUAAUUAACUUUAGCAAAGUUGCAGGAUGUAAUAUGAACCCACAUAAAUCAUCGGCGUUCCUUCAUACGGUCAACAAAGCUCAGCAAGAAAUAAAAAGGAUCCUUGGGCUUCAUAUAGUAAAGAAUCAUCUAUGCACCCAUCUUCGGCCAGCAAUCAAGUAUUUGCUAAAUGCCUAUUCUACAUAGGCUACUACGUAGUAGCUGGAGAUACAAAGACUGCCCUCAAGAAGCUUUUACUCUCUUAGGAGAGAGAGAGGUUUUACUUUGGGGUAACCCUGUACAAGGAUAUACACGGCAAAUAAAAGAUGGGGAAGCACAAAUCGUUGAGAGGGUCAAGAAUGUCUUCGUGAAAACAUACUAUUUUACUUUUUUUUAAUUUUUUUUCUUUCUCAAAAUUCUUCUUUCACAACAUGAUUCAUGUGGAAAUAUGUUUAGCAUGAUUGUAAAUGUAUCAUCUAAAUUAGACUUACUGUCGUGGGGAGAAGGGAAGAACAAUCUGGAACUCAAAAUCUUAAAAAAAUGAAUGUUGAAAAAUAUCGUUAUAUAUAAUAGGUGGGGGAAACUUCUAUUAGAUGCAAAAAAAAAAAAAAAAAGUCUUCUUGUAAAUAGUAUUUGAGCUAAGAUUUGAAGGAAAUCAGAGAUGCUAACCAGCAGAGAUAGUGAGAGAAUAUAUUCCAGAAUGGAGGUCAUCCAGUGUAAAAGUCCAAAGUCAGGAAAUGGAGACAUGAAGAGUAAGAAAGUCAGUUUGGCAGAGUAAGAAGCAGUGCAAGGUGGUAAAGAGAACCAUGUCACAAUCAGAAGACUUGGGUUUAGUACCCAGGGUACUACACUUACCUACAUGUGUGAUUUUUGGCUUAAUAUCUUGCCACUGCUCCUUUGAUUGGAAAAUGAUGAGUAUACCAAAUACCUAAAGCGAAGUUUUGCAGGGAAAAACACCUUUGUAAAUUUUAAAGCCAAAGGAGAAGUAAUCCUGUAGGAAUAUUGAGGAGGCGACAAAUUGUAAGCAGCUUUGGAGUAUUGGAAAGAGCAGUAGAACUGCAAAUUAGGAUAUCUAAGUUCUGGUCUCCAAUAUGUCAUUAAUUUUCUGAGUCAUCUGAGCUUUUCCCUGUCUGGGU